UAUUGCCUAGUCUAAUGGUUAGGAUUGCUGCCUUCCAUCUCUAUUGUGAGCAGCAGGUUCGGGUUCAAUUCCCGGAGGAGUAA